rnacentral:rRNA from 1 species
GGCCUUCGGGUUGUAAACCUCUUUCAGUAGGGACGAAGCGCAAGUGACGGUACCUACAGAAGAAGCACCGGCCAACUACGUGCCAGCAGCCGCGGUAAUACGUAGGGUGCGAGCGUUGUCCGGAAUUACUGGGCGUAAAGAGCUUGUAGGUGGUUUGUCGCGUUGUUCGUGAAAUCUCACGGCUUAACUGUGAGCGUGCGGGCGAUACGGGCAGACUAGAGUACUGCAGGGGAGACUGGAAUUCCU